CCUGGUGGCUCAGAUGGUAAAGAAUCUGCCUGCAAUGUAGGAGACCCAGGUUCAAUUCCUGGGUCAGGA
rnacentral:tRNA from 1 species